UUUUAGACAGGCAUUAGAGAAGUUACCAUCAUAAAAUUAGUAAUAGAAGCUACAAGCUUAAUCAGCUCUUUCUUUGCCCAUAAGUCAUUCUGAUUAUGGUGGAAAUUCAGGCAUCACUAGUUCUACUCAAUAGCGUAGAAUAAUACACCAAUUUACAAUCAAUUAGGUACCACAAUCAACAAAUAAGACAAAAGACAAAGACAACAAGAAAGGUCAGGACAAACAUUGACUAAAUAAAUAAAAUCAAAUAAGAGUUCAAAACAAAGUGGGAGGUGUUGCUACCAUGACAUGGGGAAGUAUCAAGAGACGGAAGGCCAUUAUAAAUGUAACCGAAAGAAGACACUCAAGUGGAGUAGGAGAAGCACCCAAAAAGAGCAUGUAAAAGCAUGGGUUUAUUUUUUGUUUUUCAUUGUAAAAAGAUAAGGCACUACAACGUUUUGAAUAAAUCAAAAAGACACGUUUCAGGAA